UUCUAAUAUGGCAGAUUAGUGCAAUGGAUUUAAGCCCCAUAUAUAAAGUUUUUAGCUUUUUUUAGAAAAAA
rnacentral:tRNA from 1 species